UACGUAGGGUGCAAGCGUUGUCCGGAAUUAUUGGGCGUAAAGAGCUCGUAGGCGGUUUGUCGCGUCUGCUGUGAAAACCCGAGGCUCAACCUCGGGCCUGCAGUGGGUACGGGCAGACUGGAGUGUGGUAGGGGAGAUCGGAAUUCCUGGUGUAGCGGUGAAAUGCGCAGAUAUCAGGAGGAACACCGGUGGCGAAGGCGGAUCUCUGGGCCAUUACUGACGCUGAGGAGCGAAAGCGUGGGGAGCGAACAGG
rnacentral:rRNA from 1 species